rnacentral:rRNA from 1 species
CCUACGGGAGGCAGCAGUGGGGAAUAUUGCACAAUGGGCGCAAGCCUGAUGCAGCAACGCCGCGUGAGGGACGACGGCCUUCGGGUUGUAAACCUCUUUUAGUAGGGAAGAAGCGAAAGUGACGGUACCUGCAGAAAAAAGCACCGGCUAACUACGUGCCAGCAGCCGCGGUAAUACGUAGGGUGCAAGCGUUAUCCGGAAUUAUUGGGCGUAAAGAGCUCGUAGGCGGUUUGUCGCGUCUGCUGUGAAAACUGGAGGCUCAACCUCCAGCCUGCAGUGGGUACGGGCAAACUAGAGUGCGGUAGGGGAGAUUGGAAUUCCUGGUGUAGCGGUGGAAUGCGCAGAUAUCAGGAGGAACACCGAUGGCGAAGGCAGAUCUCUGGGCCGUAACUGACGCUGAGGAGCGAAAGCAUGGGGAGCGAACAGGAUUAGAUACCCUGGUAGUCCAUGCCGUAAACGUUGGGCGCUAGAUGUGGGGACCAUUCCACGGUUUCCGUGUCGCNGCUACGCAUAGUCGCCCGCCGUCGGGAGGUACGGCCGGCCGACGGACGUAAACGUUAAACGUUAAGUAAGUUAGUUACGGUCGUUGAGACGUUCGCCGACGGACGACCGACCGAGGGGAGGUUAGG